rnacentral:rRNA from 3 species
CCUGGCGGCCGUAGCGCGGUGGUCCCACCUGACCCCAUGCCGAACUCAGAAGUGAAACGCCGUAGCGCCGAUGGUAGUGUGGGGUCUCCCCAUGCGAGAGUAGGG